UGUGUGUGUGUGUGUGUGUGUGUGUGUGUGUGUGUGUGUGUGUGUGUGUGUGUGUGUGUGUGUGUGUCUGUUCGGUAACAGUUCAGUUCUGGUUGUUGAAAAGUCUGAUAGCUUAAGGGACAACUGGAAGGAAGUGCAGCAUUAUACCGAACCCAGGACUUCCUGUAAAAAGUAAUGUGAAUUCAUUUGAUCUAGAAUUGUGCUGUGAUUCCCGUGAACGUAUCCGUGACCGCAAUUUUUACUGGAGUUCCAACUUGUUCAGGAAUGUACAUUAUCUUUUGUUUUAUCUGAAGGUCACAAAGUGUUCAUAACAUACUUGUGAGAGUGACAGGAGAACGUUAUGGGAGACAGGAGAGAGGGAAAAGGGAAGUCAAGGGAAAACAGACGACUUACGCUGAAUGUGUUGACUCCGAGUGAAGAAUUGAUGAGGACACAUAAUAGAGUGAUGGCAGGAUGGGCGGAUGGACGUGUGUGUCGCGUGUCACGGCUGCCUCGGAUGGGAGUGUGUGAGUAUGUGUGUGUGUAUAAGUGUGUGAGUCCUGGAUUAAUUUUAAUGCCCCACUCUGCGGGCUGCGUGUCAUUCUCCCUCCUGUCGGAGAACCCGUCGAGAUGACAUGGGAACAAGCGCAGUGCUCGGUGGCGAGGAGCCGGGAGAAGCGGCGGUGCCGGGGAAAGCGUUUAUGAAAGAUUCAUCACAGAUGUCGCUCUAAUCUGCCAUGCAUUGUCAGGGAGCUGCUCCAAAAGCACACACUGUAAAUGGAUUCUUCCCCCAGACUUCAGUUUGUCUCUGGGUAAGAGUGGCGGAUGGAGAGGAUGACGGCGAGGGUGGCUUGGGGGAAAAGUACAUGGUGUGAGGAGAUGAGGAGGAGCACUUUAUGGGCUGCAUUACUUCACAUCCACAGAGAGAUGAAAGGAGUUUUUUUAUGCACAGAUGGCCAUGUGCAAGUUCACGUCAGGCCACCGUCGUGUGGAGCACACGUCAAAUAAAGUCUCCUCUUAAAGUGACAGAGCUUCACAGAGUCCAGGAGGAAAGCUCCAAGGCUUUUAUUUACACAUCACUGGCUGCUGCUGCGAAAUGGAAAAAAAAAAAAAAAAAAAAAAGCUAAAGCAAACGCUGGAGAAAAUGAACAUUACCUUCACAUCCAAGUUUCUAUCCAAGUUUGUGUGUGUGGCACAUGCAAAUGCAGGUCUUCCCUUCCCUAGAGGCUCUGGCUGAUGAAAGGCAAGGAGGUAACAGCGAGUUGGACUUUUUCUCCUGGUCGUCCAGUAGCAGGAUCCCAUUCCCUAAUGGCUCUGGCUGAUGAAAGGCAAGGAGGUAACAGCGAGGUGAAUCAGAUUCAUCUCAGAACCCGGAGUCAACACUCGUCAUGGAUUGUACCGCUUUGAUGUCGGACCUCGUGCACUCGUCCUCGCUCUUACGCUGAUAAAAUGUGUCUUUUUCCUACUUUUCUUUUUAUUCUUCUCUCUUAGCACAAGUGGAUCAUAA